UACAGGGGGUGCAAACGUUGCUCGGAAUUAUUGGGCGUAAAGCGCGCGUAGGCGGCCACUUAAGUCGGAUGUGAAAGCCCCUGGCUCAACUGGGGAAGUGCACCCGAAACUGAAUGGCUUGAAUACAAAAGAGGGUCGCGGAAUUCCCGGUGUAGAGGUGAAAUUCGUAGAUAUCGGGAGGAACACCUGUGGUGUAGACAGCUUACUGGACCACGACUGACGCUGAGACACGAAAGCGUGGGUAGCAAACAGG
rnacentral:rRNA from 1 species